GACGAACGCUGGCGGCGUGCUUAACACAUGCAAGUCGAACGAGUGGCGAACGGGUGAGUAACGCGUAUCAACCUGCCCUUCAGAGGGGGACAACAGUUGGAAACGACUGCUAAUACCGCAUACCAUCGGAUGUGCCCAGAUGGGAUUAGCUAGUAGGUGGGGUAACGGCUCACCUAGGCGACGAUCCCUAGCUGGUCUGAGAGGACGACCAGCCACACUGGGACUGAGACACGGCCCAGACUCCUACGGGAGGCAGCAGUGGGGAAUUUUGGACAAUGGGUGCAACCCUGAUCCAGCCAUUCCGCGUGCAGGAUGAAGGUCUUCGGAUUGUAAACUGCUUUUGUCAGGGAAGCGGUACCUGAAGAAUAAGCACCGGCUAACUACGUGCCAGCAGCCGCGGUAAUAC
rnacentral:rRNA from 1 species